rnacentral:rRNA from 1 species
GACGAACGCUGGCGGCGUGCUUAACACAUGCAAGUCGAACGGUAAGGCCCUUCGGGGUACACGAGUGGCGAACGGGUGAGUAACACGUGGGCAACCUGCCUCAUAGAGGGGGAUAGCCUCCUGAAAGGGAGAUUAAUACAGCAUAAAAUUAUCGAGUGGCAUCACAUGAUAAUCAAAGGAGUAAUCCGCUAUGAGAUGGGCCCGCGGCGCAUUCGCUAGUUGGUGAGGUAACGGCUCACCAAGGCGACGAUGCGUAGCCGACCUGAGAGGGUGAUCGGCCACAUUGGGACUGAGACACGGCCCAGACUCCUACGGGAGGCAGCAGUGGGGAAUAUUGCACAAUGGGGGAAACCCUGAUGCAGCAACGCCGCGUGAGUGAUGAAGGUCUUCGGAUUGUAAAGCUCAGUCUUUGGGGACGAUAAUGACGGUACCCAAGGAGGAAGCCACGGCUAACUACGUGCCAGCCGCCGCGGUAA